GAACCCGCACAAGCGGUGGAGCGUGUGGUUUAAUUCGACGAUAAGCGAGGAACCUUACCAAGGUUUGACAUCCUGAGAAUCCGCUAGAAACAGUGGAGUGCCGCAAGGAGCUCAGUGACAGGUGCUGCAUGGUUGUCGUCAGCUCGUGUCGUGAGAUGUUCGGUUAAGUCCGUUAACGAGCGCAACCCCUAUAGUAUGUUACUACGUGUCAUACAAAACUGCCCUGGACAACAGGGAGGGAAGGUGGGGAGUGACGUCAAAUCAGCAUGGCCCUUACACCUUGGGCUACACACGCGCUACAAUGGCCAGUACAAAGGGACGCUAAGCGGCAACGCGGAGCAAAUCCUGAUAAAACUAGGUCCCAGUUCGGAUUGGAGGCUGCAAUUCGCCUCCAUGAAGUCGGAAUCGCUAGUAA
rnacentral:rRNA from 1 species